rnacentral:misc_RNA from 1 species
CCAUUGGUAUUCCGAAGGGCAUGCCUGUUUGAGUGUCAUGAAACAUCAAUCAUUCAUCUUGAUUGGAACUGGACGUUGCCUUUGGCUCGUCUCAAAGCUGUUAGUGCCGGUUGACGUGAUAAGUUUCGUCAUGGCCGGCGCUUCACCCCCAUCUUUUUAAGCUUGACCUCAAAUCAGGUAGGACUACCCGCUGAACUUAA